GAGUUUGAUCUUGGCUCAGGAUAAAUGCUGGCGGUGUGCCUAAUACAUGCAAGUCGAGCGGUAACAUGGGGAGCUUGCUCCCUGAUGACGAGCGGCGGACGGCUGAGUAACGCGUAGGAAUGUACCCCAAAGUGAGGAAUAACUGCCCGAAAGGGUAGCUAAUACCGCAUGUGAUCUUCGGAUUAAAGCUUUCGAGCGCUUUGGGAACAGCCUGCGUCCGAUUAGUUUGUUGGUGAGGUAAUGGCUCACCAAGACUACGAUCGGUAACGGGUCUGAGAGGAUGAUCCGUCAGACUGGGACUGAGACACGGCCCAGACUCCUACGGGAGGCAGCAGUAGGGAAUUUUCCACAAUGGGCGAAAGCCUGAUGGAGCAACACCGCGUGCAGGAUGAAGGCUUUCGGGUCGUAAACUGCUUUUAUUUGCGAAGAAUUUGACUGUAACAAAUGAAUAAGGAUCGGCUAACUACGUGCCAGCCGCCGCCGUAAC
rnacentral:rRNA from 1 species